GUCAAAUUAGCUAGCCCGUGAUGGCGAGCUAUUUACUCAGAAUAUUGCAAAAUGUGCUUUUGCUGAAAAGCUAUUUUAAAAUCUGACACCGCGAUUGCAUAUAGGAGUUCUGUAUCUAUAAUUCUUAAAAUAAUUGUUAUGUUUUUUGUGAACGUUUAUCGUGAGUAAUUUAGUAAAUUCACCGGAAGUUUUCGGUAUGUUUGCUAGUUCUGAACAUCACAUGCUAAUGUAAAAAGCUGGUUUUUGAUAUAAAUAUGAACUUGAUUGAACAAAACAUGCAUGUAUUGUAUAACAUAAUGUCCUAGGAGUGUCAUCUGAUGAAGAUCAUCAAAGGUUAAUGCUGCAUUUAGCUGUGGUUUUGGUUUUUGUGACAUUAUAUGCUAGCUUGAAAAAUGGGUGUCUGGCUAGGUACUCUGCUGACAUAAUCUAAUGUUUUGCUUUCGUUGUAAACCCUUUUUGAAAUCGGAUAAUGUGGUUAGAUUAACGAGAGUCUUGUCUUUAAAAUGGUGUAAAAUAGUCAUAUGUUUGAGAAAUUGAAGUAAUAGCAUUUCUAAGGUAUUUGAAUAUCGCGCCACUCGAUUUCACUGGCUGUUGACUAGGUGGGACGAUUUCGUCCCACAUACCCUAGAGAGGUUAACCAGGGACUGAUUUAGACCUGGGACGUCAUGUCAUUAUUCCCUUCUAAUCAGGGGCUGAUUUAGACCCGGGACAUCAGGUCAUUAUUCCCCUUUAACCAGGGACUGAUUUAGACCUGGGACAUCAGGUCGUUAUUCCCCUUUAACCAGGGGCUGAUUUAGACCUGGGACAUCAGGUCAUUGUUCUCCCCUAAUCAGGGACUGAUUUUAGACCUGGGACAUCAGGUCAUUAUUCCCCUUUAACCAGGGACUGGUUUAGACUUGGGACAUCAGGUCAUUAUUCCCCUCUAAUCAGGGACUGAUUUAGACCUGGGACAUCAGGUCAUUGUUCCCCUUUAACCAUGGACUGAUUUAGACCUGGGACAUCAGGUCAUUAUUCCCCUUUAACCAGGGACUGGUUUAGACUUGGGACAUCAGGUCAUUAUUCCCCUCUAAUCAGGGACUGAUUUAGACCUGGGACAUCAGGUCAUUGUUCCCCUCUAAACUGAUUUAGACCUGGGACAUCAGGUCAUUAUUCCCCUUUAACCAUGGACUGAUUUAGACCUGGGACAUCAGGUCAUUAUUCCCCUUUAACCAUGGACUGAUUUAGACCUGGGACAUCAGGUCAUUAUUCCCCUUUAACCAGGGACUGAUUUAGACCUGGGACGUCAUGUCAUUAUUCCCCUCUAAUCAGGGGCUGAUUUAGACCAGAGGUGUGUGUGUGUGUGUGUGUGUGUGUGUGUGUGUGUAACAGAGUCUGUCAGAGGAGUGUGUGUGUGUGUGUGUGUGUAACAGAGUCUGUCAGAGGAGUGUGUGUGUGACAGAGUCUGUCAGAGGAGUGUGUGUGUGUAACAGAGUCUGUCAGAGGUGAGUGUGUGUGUGUAACAGAGUCUGUCAGAGGAGUGUGUGUGUGUGUGUGUGUGUGUGUGUGUGUGUGAGUGUGUGUGUGUGCCCUUCUACUUGACAGUGAAAAUGCAAUGCUUCUUUCAGUCCGAGUAUGAAAGCCAUCCUGUUUUCUUGAACACCUUGUUUGUUUAAGGCCAAGAAAACUACAGGGAAACACUCAGGGUGGCAUUCAUACUCAGACUGAAAGAAGCAUUUUAUUUUCACUUUUAUUUAACAUCGAUACUAACAUAACAGGUUAUAAUACACUAGGUAUGCAUGCACACAAACAUCUCAGCACUCCCUUCAGCAACUUGCCCAAGCCCCCCCACCCCGCUUCUCCUUCACCCAAAUCCAGACAGACCUGGCUACCCCAACCCCAGUCAGCAGCUCUGCACCCCCCACAGCAACUUGCCCAAGCCCCCCAUUUCUCCUUCACCCAAAUCCAGAUAGCUGAUGUUCUGAAAGAGCUGCAAAAUCUGGACCCAUACAAAUCAGCCGGGCUAGACAAUCUGGAACCUCUCUUUCUAAAAUUAUCUGCCGAAAUUGUUGUAACUCCUAUUACUAGCCUGUUCAACUUCUCUUUCGUAUCGUCUGAGAUUCCCAAAGAUUGGAAAGCUGCCGCGGUCAAACUGCUACAGACCUAUAUCUAUCCUACCCUGCCUUUCUAAAGUCUUCGAAAGCCAAGUUAACAAACAGAUCACCGACCAUUUCGAAUCCCACCGUACCUUCUCCGCUGUGAAAUCUGGUUUACGAGCUGGUCAUUGGUGCACCUCAGCCACGCUCAAGGUCCUAAACAAUAACAUAUCCACCAUCGAUAAAAGACAGUACUGUGCAGCCGUAUUCAUCGACCUGGCCAAGGCUUUCGACUCUGUCAAUCACCGCAUUCUAAUCGUCAUACUCAAUAGCCUUGGUUUCUCAAAUGACUGCCUCGCCUUGAUCACCAACUAUUUCUCUGAUAGAGUUCAGUGUGUCGAAUCGGAGGGCCUGUUAUCUGGACCUCUGGCAGUCUCUGGGUGGGUGCCACAGGGUUCAAUUCUCGGGCCAAGUCUCUUCUCUGUAUACA
rnacentral:lncRNA from 1 species